UAAGCAUAUCAAUAAGCGGAGGAAAAGAAACCAACAGGGAUUGCCUUAGUAACGGCGAGUGAAGCGGCAACAGCUCAAAUUUGAAAUCUGGCCCUUGGGUCCGAAUUGUAAUUUGUAGAGGAUGAUUUUGGUGCGGUAUCUUCCGAGUUCCUUGGAACAGGACGCCUUAGAGGGUGAGAGCCCCGUACGGUUGAAUGCCUAGCCUCUGUAAAUCUCCUUCGACGAGUCGAGUAGUUUGGGAAUGCUGCUCUAAAUGGGAGGUAAAUUUCUUCUAAAGCUAAAUAUUGGCCAGAGACCGAUAGCGCACAAGUAGAGUGAUCGAAAGAUGAAAAGCACUUUGAAAAGAGGGUUAAAUAGCACGUGAAAUUGUUGAAAGGGAAGGAUUUGUGACCAGACUUUUUCUGGGCGGAUCAUCCGGGGUUCUCUCCGGUGCACUUCGCCCAGUAAAGGCCAGCAUCGGUUUUCGGCGUGGGAUAAAAGCAGUAGGAAUGUGGCUCUCUACGGGGAGUGUUAUAGCCUAUUGUAUAAUACCGCGCUGGGGACCGAGGUUCGCGCUUCUGCAAGGAUGCUGGCGUAAUGGUUAUCAAUCACCCGUCUUGAAACACGGACCAAGGAGUCGAACAUUUGUGCGAGUGUUUGGGUGUUAAACCCUCACGCGUAAUGAAAGUGAACGGAGGUGAGAGCCCUUACGGGUGCAUCAUCGACCGAUCCUGAAGUUUUCGGAUGGAUUUGAGUAAGAGCAUAACUGUUCGGACCCGAAAGAUGGUGAACUAUGCGUGGAUAGGGUGAAGCCAGAGGAAACUCUGGUGGAGGCUCGCAGCGGUUCUGACGUGCAAAUCGAUCGUCAAAUCUGCGCAUGGGGGCGAAAGACUAAUCGAACCAUCUAGUAGCUGGUUACCGC
rnacentral:rRNA from 1 species